AAGAGCAGAGAGUGUAGCAGUGGAGGUGUCAUCCAUAGUGGAUGCUGGGGACUCCGUAAGGACCAUGGGGAUUAGCGGCUCCGCAGGAGACUGGGCACAACUAAAGAAAGAUUUAGGACUACCUGGUGUGAACUGGCUCCUCCCCCUAUGACCCUCCUCCAGACCUCAGCUAGGAUACUGUGCCCGGAAGAGCUGACACAAUAAGGAAGGAUGUAUGAAUCCCGGUAAUCAAUAUAUGAUGCUCUCAAAAUAUUGUGUCUAAAUUGGAAGCUUAUCUUGAUAAAGAUCCCAAACUGAGGAUCGAAACGUCGACUAAAUAAGCCUAAUCUCGACUGCAAUAAAGCUACUGUGAAAAAAAUGAACUUGCGAGAAAUCAUUUG